rnacentral:rRNA from 1 species
AUUCCCGUUGAUCCUGCGGGAGGUUGCUGCUAUUAGGGUUCGACUAAGCCAUGCAAGUCUUCUCGCAAGAGAGGCAAACUGCUCAGUAACACGUCGAUAAUCUGCCCUUAGGUCUAGGAUAACUUCGGGAAACUGAAGCUAAAACUGGAUAGGAGAAUUAUAUUGGAAUAUUUUUUCUUCAAAAAGAAAUGCCUAAGGAUGAGUUGGCGGCGGAUUAGGUUGUUGGUGAGGUAAUGGCUCACCAAGCCGAAGAUCCGUAGGGGCCUUGAAAGAGGAAGCCCCGAGAAGGGCACUGAGAUACUGGCCCUAGCCCCACGGGGUGCAGCAGGCGCGAAACCUUUACAAUGCACGAAAGUGUGAUAAGGGAACCCUAAGUGCUUUACUUUUGUAAGGCUUUUGUUAAGAGUAAAAAUCUUGACGAAUAAGUGGUGGGUAAGACGGGUGCCAGCCGCCGCGGUAACACCCGCGCCACGAGUGGGAACCACUAUUAUUGGGCCUAAAGCGUCCGUAGCCGGUUUAACAAAUCUUUUGUGAAAUUGUUAAGCUUAACUUAACGGUGUGCAGAAGACACUGUUAAACUUGGAACUGGGAGGAGUCAGAAGUAUUUCUAGGGGAGCGGUAAAAUGCUAUAAUCCUAGAAAGACUACCUGUGGCGAAGGCGUCUGACUAGAACAGUUUCGACGGUGAGGGACGAAAGCCAGGGGAGCGAUCCGGAUUAGAUACGAGAAAUUUUCUUCAAAAAUUUCUGGAGUUAGGCUCGUAAAUUUCGCUGUUAAACUACGUUUACGAGUUGAAUCUGGAAGUAAUGGAAAUUUACUCGCUAACUACCCGAGUAGUCCUGGCUGUAAACGCUGCGAGCAAGGUGUUACAUAUUCUUUGUGAAUAUGUGGUGUCGAAAUGAAGAUGUUAAGCUCGCCGCCUGGGAAGUAUGGUCGCAAGACUGAAACUUAAAGGAAUUGGCGGGGGAGCACUACAAGGGGUGCGGCGU